rnacentral:rRNA from 1 species
CCUACGGGUGGCAGCAGUGAGGAAUAUUGGUCAAUGGGCGCGAGCCUGAACCAGCCAAGUAGCGUGAAGGAUGACUGCCCUACGGGUUGUAAACUUCUUUUAUAAGGGAAUAAAGUGAGGCACUUGUGCCCGCUUGUAUGUACUUUAUGAAUAAGGAUCGGCUAACUCCGUGCCAGCAGCCGCGGUAAUACGGAGGAUCCGAGCGUUAUCCGGAUUUAUUGGGUUUAAAGGGUGCGUAGAUGGGGUGUUAAGUCAGUUGUGAAAGUUGGCGGCUCAACCGGAAAAUUGCAAUUGAUACUGGCAGCCUGGAGUACAGUUGAGGUAGGCGGAAUUCGUGGUGUAGCGGUGAAAUGCUUAGAGAUCACGAAGAACUCCGAUUGCGAAGGCAGCUUACGAAACUGCCACUGACAUUGAUGCUCGAAAGUGUGGGUAUCAAACAGGAUUAGAUACCCCUGUAGUC